rnacentral:rRNA from 1 species
AUUGAACGCUGGCGGCAGGCUUAACACAUGCAAGUCGAACGAGUGGCGGACGGGAGAGUAAUGAAUGGGAAUCGAGCUUAUGGAGGGGGAUAACUACGGGGAACUGUAGCUAAUACCGCGUAGCAGAGGAUGAGCCCAAGUGGGAUUAGGUAGUUGGUGAGGUAAAGGCUCACCAAGACGACGAUCUGUAGCUGGUCUGAGAGGAUGACCAGCCACACUGGAACUGAGACACGGCCCAGACUCCUACGGGAGGCAGCAGUGGGGAAUAUUGCGCAAUGGGGGCAACCUGACCCAGCCAUGCCGCGUGAAUGAAGAAGGCCUUCGGAUUGUAAAGUUCUUUCGGUAGCGAGGCGUUAACUACAGAAGAAGCACCGGCUAACUCCGUGCCAGCAGCCGCGGUAAUUC